CCAGGUUAUUCUCAAGAAAGGAAAUCUUCUGCUUCUGGGUGCAAGACCCCCCGCUAUCAUCAGGCUCCAUUUCGGAGCUCUGCAGAGAAGAAGAGAGAGGAGGAUGAAGAAAAAAAACAAAAACAAAAAAGAUUAUCACAUGAGGAUUUGUGAUUUUUAGUCGUUUGGACCGCACACAGAAUAGCUGCUCAUCCCUGACACUUACGAGAGCUCCUCCAGGCGCUCGCUCUUGGUGCUGUCCUGGCUCUUCAGACGGUCAAAGUCGGCGCGAACCUGAGCCAGUUCCAGCUCCAGCUUGGAGUUACGACUGCAAGCAGGAGAAAACAAGGACCUCGUUAAAGAAAGGGUUAAUAUGCGGGCCAGCUGCUUGUGGUGGACGCCACGGUGUGACUCCCCCUGCUGGCGAGGAGCCUUCUGCGCAACAAAGACGACAUGAAGGAUCAGCUGAAUGCACGCAGGUUGUGUGGCAUUUACAGAAACGGAAAUGUUAUCAUAACUUUAUAAAAACACAGUCAAGAAAUUUAAACAUGUCAAGAAAGAGUGAGAUCUCCUAUGAGAUAUGAAGAAAGCUGUUGCUACUCAU